rfam:Gorilla gorilla gorilla genomic chromosome, chr10, whole genome shotgun sequence
GCUGGGCAUGGUGCUGUGUGCCUGUAAUCCCAGCUACUUGGGAGGCUGAGGCAGGAGAAUUGCUUGAACCUGGGAGGCGGAGGUUGCAGUGAACAAAGAUCGCGCCACUGCCCUCCAGCCUGGGUGACAGAGCAAGACUCUGUCUCAA